CUCUUUCGUUCCCCUCUUCACGUGGUGCGGACCGGAAGUGACGCGCGCGGCCCGGGAGCUGCGGGCGCGGAGGCCGACGGAGCCGGAGUCGCCGACGCCGCGGGGUCUCCGGGACAGGAACCCCUGGUGCUGUGUCCGGAUUCUGCAGGGGAAGUUUGCUGGGACCCUGGCCCCACCUGGCCAGUGGAAUGUCAGCCACACUGGAUCUGAAAUCGAAAGAGGAGAAAGAUGCUGAGUUGGACAAGAGGAUCGAAGCUCUUCGGCGAAAGAACGAGGCCCUCAUACGGCGCUACCAGGAGAUCGAGGAGGACCGUAAAAAAGCUGAACUCGAGGGAGUAGCGGUGACCGCGCCCCGGAAGGGCCGCUCGGUGGAGAAGGAGAACGUGGCCGUUGAGGUGGAGAAGAACUUGGGUCCCUCUCGGAGGUCUCCUGGGACCCCGCGGCCUCCGGGGGCCAGCAAGGGAGGCCGGCCCGUCCCCCAGCAGGGAGGCCGGGCAGGCGUGGGCCGGGUGGCUCGUAACUGGGAGGACAGUUCUGGGGAGCAGCCUCGAGGAGGAGCUGGGGGCCGCGGCCGGAGGGGCCGGGGCCGGGGGUCCCCUCAUCUGUCUGGGGCCGGAGAUGCCUCAACUGCCGACCGCAAAUCCAAGGAGUGGGAGGAGCGGCGCCGGCAGAACAUCGAGAAGAUGAACGAGGAGAUGGAGAAGAUUGCGGAGUAUGAGCGCAACCAGCGGGAAGGCGUGCUGGAGCCCAACCCGGUGCGGAACUUCCUGGACGACCCCCGGCGACGCGGUGGGCCCCUGGAGGAGCCUGAGCGGGACCGCCGGGAGGGCAGCCGCCGGCACGGGCGCAACUGGGGGGGACCCGACUUCGAGCGGGUGCGCUGCGGCCUGGAGCAGGAGCGGCAGGGCCGCCGGGCCGGCCUGGCUGGCGCUGGCGACAUGACGCUGUCCAUGACGGGCCGGGAGCGGUCGGAGUACCUGCGCUGGAAGCAGGAGAGGGAGAAGAUCGACCAGGAGCGGCUGCAGAGACACCGCAAGCCCACCGGCCAGUGGCGGCGGGAGUGGGAUGCCGAGAAGACGGAUGGGAUGUUCAAGGAUGGCCCAGCCGCUGCCCUCGAACCAUCCCAUCGCUAUGAUGAUCAGGCCUGGGCUCGGCCCCCCAAGCCCCCCACUUUCAGGGAGUUCCUGUCCCAGCACAAAGCGGAGGUCAGCCGCAGGAGGAGGAAGGGUAGCCGACCCCAGACCAAGGCAGCCCCUCGUGCCUACAGUGACCAUGACGACCGCUGGGAGACGAAGGAGGCAGCGUCCCCAGCCCCUGAGGCCCCACAGCCCCCUCCACCCGAGGAGACGCCCGUGCAGCCGCUGGAGACCCCAGCUCCUCCUGCCCACCGGCCUCCUGAGGAUGACGGGGAGGAGGACGAGGGGGAGGAUGAGGAAUGGGAAGAUGUGAGUGAGGAGGAGGAGGAGAUCGAGGAGGAGGAGGAGGGGGAGGAGGAGGAAGAGGCCAUCGAGGAGGAAGAAGAACCAGCCCAAGACCACCAACCCCAAGAGGCCGCGCCCACCGGAAGCCCCACCGGAGGUGACCAGCCAGCCCCUGCCUCCCUCGAGAGUGGGCCCUGCCUCCCAGGAACCCAGAAAGCUGAAGAGGAAGGGUCUGAGGCAGCUUCAGAGGCGGGCACUGAGGGUCAGGAGACCGCGGAGAUCACCGACUUCCAGAGGGUGCGUUUCUGCAAGGUGGUGGCGGCCGCUCCGCCACCGGGGGCCGCCCGCUGACCGCGCCUGCAGACUGCGGCCUCCGCGUUCUGCACUAACCUCCUGCCGCCUUGCUCCUCUGUCCUCUGCUUCCGUCACGCUCCAGCCAGGAGAGGGUUAAAUGCCUCCCCGAAUUCCUGAAGACGCUGCUGGGAGGGGACUGAAGCUUCCCCGCCUUGAUGGGGAGGGGGCGGCAGGAGGGGGUUAGUCUGGAUUUCCAGGCUGCGCUCUCUCCUCCCCGGAGACUGCUCUGGAUCCCAUGACUUUAGGGAGAGGGAGAAACUGAGGGUGGUGGGGAGGCGUUGGGGAAGGGGCGUGACUGGCUUAUGGGGCAGAGCUGGAGCUUCGGGGCGUUGAAUUUAGAUCUCUGGACGCGAAGUAAGGAUGAGGUGCCGUGAGGGGCGUGGCUAGGGUGCCUGGGCGGGGCCACAACUCGUGGGUGAGGUGAGGUUGGGACAUAGGCGGGCCUUAGAUGUGGUGUGGGGCCGCGACAGCAGGUUUAGAUGCGAGUUCUUAACGCGGUUGUGGGGGGCAGUCCUCGGUGGAGGGCGUGGCCAAUGCGGGGCUAGAACCAAUGGGCUGAGGCGGCGGAAAGUUGCGGAGCCUGGACUAGAGAGUGUGAAUCCAAGGAGAGGAGAGGGUGGCUUCGAGUGCUAGAAUCGAGUGUGAUUCAGAGAAAGGCAAGUUAGAAGCGGGGAGGACUUGCGGCUAAGGUGGGGUGGGGUUUGUGAGGCUUGAACCUCGUAAGGGCUUGGGGCUCGGAGGCUGGGCUUAGAUGCCCGGGAGAAGUCUGUGUCCCGAAAGGGGACGGGGUUGGGGCGCGGGGAGGAGGCCAGAAGGAGGAGG